rnacentral:other from 1 species
UUUCCUGGGGUGUUCGUAAUUCUUACCAAUUUUGAACCUACAUUAGACACAAGGGAUUCCAAUAUUUUUAGACGGAUGUCAGGCCUCCUGUUCGAGUGGAAGGCAGAAGUCUAAGUGAGGUUGCCCACCUAGCAUUGCUAGGCGUCAAUAAGUAAGAGACGGCAUUCUGGGGUUU